rnacentral:rRNA from 1 species
ACGCACGCUGGCGGCGUGCUUAACACAUGCCAGUCGAACGGAAAGGCCCUGCUUUUGUGGGGUGCUCGAGUGGCGAACGGGUGAGUAACACGUGAGUAACCUGCCCUUGACUUUGGGAUAACUUCAGGAAACUGGGGCUAAUACCGGAUAGGAGCUCCUGCUGCAUGGUGGGGGUUGGAAAGUUUCGGCGGUUGGGGAUGGACUCGCGGCUUAUCAGCGUGUUGGUGGGGUAGUGGCUUACCAAGGCUUUGACGGGUAGCCGGCCUGAGAGGGUGACCGGCCACAUUGGGACUGAGAUACGGCCCAGACUCCUACGGGAGGCAGCAGUGGGGAAUAUUGCACAAUGGGCGGAAGCCUGAUGCAGCAACGCCGCGUGCGGGAUGACGGCCUUCGGGUUGUAAACCGCUUUCGCCUGUGACGAAGCGUGAGUGACGGUAAUGGGUAAAGAAGCACCGGCUAACUACGUG